CUCCUGACCCUUGACCCUACCACUUUCUAGAUCACUGUCUUUGGCAAGACGCUCAGUUCUCCACCUGUAAAAUGGACAAAGUAAUAAGUAGUGACCUCAGAAGAUUAUUUACUGUGGUACUGUGUUUGGGCUGCUGUCAAAACAUUAUUCAAGAUGGAGAAUUUCUGGAAGAAUAAAUUGUUAAGAACAACUACAGGAAAAAGAUCUACUGAGAUGCGGGGACCUUUUCAUCUCUCUAGAAAUUAUUUUCAGCAUCUUAAGAAUUGGAUUAUUCUAUGGACCAAGUAGCAUUCUUGGUGACUAAGUGACCCCCACACAUAACAACCUCAGAACAACGCUCAGCCCACAGUGCCUGUUUGACCACCACAUAUCAAGACCAUUGUCAGGAACGCAUCGGAACCUGGGCUGAGGAUGUGUACUGUGCAGGCUCAAAGUUUUCCAAGCAUAAAAGCAAGACUCAUUUUCACUGAUCAGUUGAAGUACAGUCAAUUUUCAUAUCUAUUUCCUUGUAAGCAUGCAAUGACAUCAGAGAUGAGUGUAGGCGAAGUAACAUACUCUGACCUGCCAAAGAAAAGUCAUUUUCUUCUAUCUGAAUCUGUGCCGCCAAGACAUGUAAGAAGACAAACUAAUUAGUGUCCAAGGUAUUUCCUUAAAAUAAAUGAUUGAAUUUUCUGGAAGCUACCUGAAAAAUUUCAUCUAGCACAAUUUUAGGUUUCCAUCUUCAAUAAAAAAAUUGAGACUUGUUAGAUUGGGAGUCAUGAAUAAAAAUUG